GAAUAGCCCUCUUUUGAUUUUGUUUGCCAAGUAGGUACAUAUAGACUGUGAACAAGUCACCCCUUAAGCAUCUCUUGGUUAAGCUAAAAGAUAGAGCUCAUUGAGUCUAUCACUGUAAGGCAUGGUUUCCAAUCCUUUAAUAAUUCUCAUGGCUCUUUUCUGAACCCUCUCCAAUUUAUAACCCUCCUUCUUGAAUUGUGAGCAUAAGAACUG